UACGAAGGGGGCUAGCGUUGCUCGGAAUCACUGGGCGUAAAGGGUGCGUAGGCGGGUCUUUAAGUCAGGGGUGAAAUCCUGGAGCUCAACUCCAGAACUGCCUUUGAUACUGAAGAUCUUGAGUUCGGGAGAGGUGAGUGGAACUGCGAGUGUAGAGGUGAAAUUCGUAGAUAUUCGCAAGAACACCAGUGGCGAAGGCGGCUCACUGGCCCGAUACUGACGCUGAUGCACGAAAGCGUGGGGGAGCAAACAGG
rnacentral:rRNA from 1 species